UGUGUUAGUGGAAGCGUCUGGAAAGGCGCGCGAUACAGGGUGACAGCCCCGUACACAAAAGCGCAUGUGCUGUGAGCUCGAUGAGUAGGGCGGGACACGUGGUAUCCUGUCUGAAUAUGGGGGGACCAUCCUCCAAGGCUAAAUACUCCUGACUGACCGAUAGUGAACCAGUACCGUGAGGGAAAGGCGAAAAGAACCCCGGCGAGGGGAGUGAAAAAGAACCUGAAACCGUGUACGUACAAGCAGUGGGAGCACAGGUUUACCUGUGUGACUGCGUACCUUUUGUAUAAUGGGUCAGCGACUUAUAUUCUGUAGCAAGGUUAACCGAAUAGGGGAGCCGGAGGGAAACCGAGUCUUAAUUGGGCGUUAAGUUGCAGGGUAUAGACCCGAAACCCGGUGAUCUAGCCAUGGGCAGGUUGAAGGUUGGGUAACACUAACUGGAGGACCGAACCGACUAAUGUUGAAAAAUUAGCGGAUGACCUGUGGCUGGGGGUGAAAGGCCAAUCAAACCGGGAGAUAGCUGGUUCUCCCCGAAAGCUAUUUAGGUAGCGCCUCGUGAAUUCAUCUCCGGGGGUAGAGCACUGUUUCGGCUAGGGGGCCAUCCCGGCUUACCAACCCGAUGCAAACUGCGAAUACCGGAGAAUGUUAUCACGGGAGACACACGGCGGGUGCUAACGUCCGUCGUGAAGAGGGAAACAACCCAGACCGCCAGCUAAGGUCCCAAAGUCAUGGUUAAGUGGGAAACGAUGUGGGAAGGCCCAGACAGCCAGGAUGUUGGCUUAGAAGCAGCCAUCAUUUAAAGAAAGCGUAAUAGCUCACUGGUCGAGUCGGCCUGCGCGGAAGAUGUAACGGGGCUAAACCAUGCACCGAAGCUGCGGCAGCGACGCUUAUGCGUUGUUGGGUAGGGGAGCGUUCUGUAAGCCUGUGAAGGUGGCCUGUGAGGGUUGCUGGAGGUAUCAGAAGUGCGAAUGCUGACAUAAGUAACGAUAAAGCGGGUGAAAAGCCCGCUCGCCGGAAGACCAAGGGUUCCUGUCCAACGUUAAUCGGGGCAGGGUGAGUCGACCCCUAAGGCGAGGCCGAAAGGCGUAGUCGAUGGGAAACGGGUUAAUAUUCCCGUACUUGGUGUUACUGCGAAGGGGGGACGGAGAAGGCUAUGUUGGCCGGGCGACGGUUGUCCCGGUUUAAGCGUGUAGGUGUGUGUUCCAGGUAAAUCCGGUUCACUUUAACACUGAGGCGUGAUGACGAGGCACUACGGUGCUGAAGUAACAAAUGCCCUGCUUCCAGGAAAAGCCUCUAAGCAUCAGGUAACAUCAAAUCGUACCCCAAACCGACACAGGUGGUCAGGUAGAGAAUACCAAGGCGCUUGAGAGAACUCGGGUGAAGGAACUAGGCAAAAUGGUGCCGUAACUUCGGGAGAAGGCACGCUGACAC
rnacentral:rRNA from 1 species